UCCCCGGGUGCUGGAUCCAGGGAGAAGAAGUACAAGAGAGAAGAGGUUGUUUUUGUUCGUCAAACCCGUGAGAGUCUAGGUACCGCUACUUCUUGUGUAUAUGUCCUAAACUUCGGGGGAUUAAAAACCCCCGGGACACGUCAGCGGGUGGAGUGUAGGAGCAGUUGCCGGGAAUGUAUACCUAGCUAAGGAGCACCUACGAUCGCCUACUGCUCCUGGCCACCGAGGAUCGCGCCCUCCGCGCGUACUAGGUACGCGAUCAAGACGCGUUCGGCGAAGUUAAGAAGUACCGGCGGGCCUCCCUCCCUACCGACGGCUGCUGGGGCCGAUCUAGACGGGUCCUAACGCCGCCGACGCGCGAGGAGUACCGGCGGAGGAGCUCGGACCAACCCUCCUCCCUUGCUAGGACCCCGGGUCCCAACGCAACCGCUGGAUAUAUGUCUCUUUCCCCGCUCGCCACCGCCGUACUCCGCUGAACGCCGCACCAUACGCCACCGAAGCUA
rnacentral:rRNA from 1 species